rnacentral:rRNA from 1 species
UGGGGAAUUUUGCACAAUGGGGGGAACCUUGAUGCAGCGACGCCGCGUGAGGGAUGGAGGCCUUCGGGUUGUGAACCUCUUUCGCUCGUGUGCAAGCCGCUAUUUGGGUAGUGGUGAGUGUAGCGGGUAAAGAAGCGCCGGCUAACUACGUGCCAGCAGCCGCGGUAAUACGUAGGGCGCGAGCGUUGUCCGGAUUUAUUGGGCGUAAAGGGCUUGUAGGCGGUUUGUCGCGCCUGUCGUGUAAUCCUCUGGCUUAACUGGGGGUGUGCGGUGGGUACGGGCAGGCUUGAGUGCGGUAGGGGAGAUUGGAAUUCCUGGUGUAGCGGUGGAAUGCGCAGAUAUCAGGAGGAACACCGGUGGCGAAGGCGGGUCUCUGGGCCAUUACUGACGCUGAGGAGCGAAAGCGUGGGGAGCGAACAGG